rnacentral:rRNA from 1 species
UGUAAUUUGUAGAGGAUGUUUCUGGCGACGUGCCUUCCGAGUUCCCUGGAACGGGACGCCAUAGAGGGUGAGAGCCCCGUACGGUUGGAUGCCUAGCCUCUGUGAAACUCCUUCGAC